rnacentral:misc_RNA from 1 species
GAUGAAGAACGUAGUGAAAUGCGAUAACUAAUGUGAAUUGCAGAAUUCAGUGAAUCAUCGAGUCUUUGAACGCACAUUGCGCCCCCUGGUAUUCCGGGGGGCAUGCCUGUCCGAGCGUCAUUACAACCCUCAAGCUCAGCUUGGUGUUGGGCCCCGCCGCCCCGGCGGGCCCUAAAGUCAGUGGCGGUGCCGUCCGGCUCCGAGCGUAGUAAUUCUUCUCGCUCUGGAGGUCCGGUCGUGUGCUCGCCAGCAACCCCCAAUUUUUUUCAGGUUGACCUCGGAUCAGGUAGGGAUACCCGCUGAACUUAAGCAUAUCAAUAAGCGGAGGA